UACGGAGGGUGCAAGCGUUAUCCGGAUUCACUGGGUUUAAAGGGUGCGUAGGCGGGUAAGUAAGUCCGUGGUGAAAUCUCUGAGCUUAACUCAGAAACUGCCGUGGAUACUAUUUGCCUUGAAUAUUGUGGAGGUGAGCGGAAUAUGUCAUGUAGCGGUGAAAUGCUUAGAUAUGACAUAGAACACCAAUUGCGAAGGCAGCUCACUACACAAUCAUUGACGCUGAGGCACGAAAGCGUGGGGACUAAACAGG
rnacentral:rRNA from 1 species